rnacentral:tRNA from 1 species
GGGCCGCUAGCUCAAUGGUAGAGCAGCAGACUUUUAAUCUGCGGGUUCAGGGUUCGAGCCCCUGGCGGCCCA